CACGUAGUUAGCCGUGGCUUUCUGGUUAGGUACCGUCAAGACGUGCACAGUUACUUACACAUUUGUUCUUCCCUAAUAACAGAGUUUUACGAUCCGAAGACCUUCAUCACUCACGCGGCGUUGCUCCGUCAGGCUUUCGCCCAUUGCGGAAGAUUCCCUACUGCUGCCUCCCGUAGGAGUCUGGACCGUGUCUCAGUUCCAGUGUGGCCGAUCACCCUCUCAGGUCGGCUACGUAUCGUUGCCUUGGUAAGCCAUUACCCCACCAACUAGCUAAUACGGCGCGGGUCCAUCUAUAAGUGAUAGCAAAACCAUCUUUCACUUUAGAACCAUGCGGUUCUAAAUAUUAUCCGGCAUUAGCCCCGGUUUCCCGGAGUUAUUCCAGUCUUAUAGGUAGGUUACCCACGUGUUACUCACCCGUCCGCCGCUAACGUCAAAGGAGCAAGCUCCUUAUCUGUUCGCUCGACUUGCAUGUAUUAGGCACGCCGCCAGCGUUCAUCCUGAGCCAGGAUCAAACUCU
rnacentral:rRNA from 1 species